UACGAAGGGGGGCUAGCGUUGCUCGGAAUCACUGGGCGUAAAGCGCACGUAGGCGGAUUGUUAAGUCAGGGGUGAAAUCCUGGAGCUCAACUCCAGAACUGCCUUUGAUACUGGCGAUCUCGAGUCCGGGAGAGGUGAGUGGAACUGCGAGUGUAGAGGUGAAAUUCGUAGAUAUUCGCAAGAACACCAGUGGCGAAGGCGGCUCACUGGCCCGGUACUGACGCUGAGGCACGGAAAGCGUGGGGAGCAAACAGGG
rnacentral:rRNA from 1 species